rnacentral:rRNA from 1 species
UACGUAGGGUGCGAGCGCUAAUCGGAAUUACUGGGCGUAAAGCGUGCGCAGGCGGUUGUGUAAGACAGAUGUGAAAUCCCCGGGCUCAACCUGGGAACUGCAUUUGUGACUGCACAGCUUGAGUGCGGCAGAGGGGGAUGGAAUUCCGCGUGUAGCAGUGAAAUGCGUAGAUAUGCGGAGGAACACCGAUGGCGAAGGCAAUCCCCUGGGCCUGCACUGACGCUCAUGCACGAAAGCGUGGGGAGCAAACAGG